rnacentral:rRNA from 1 species
UACGUAGGGGGCAAGCGUUGUCCGGAUUUAUUGGGCGUAAAGAGCGUGUAGGCGGCCAUGUAGGUCCGUUGUGAAAACUCGAGGCUCAACCUCGAGACGCCGAUGGAAACCAUGUGGCUAGAGUCCGGAAGAGGAGAGUGGAAUUCCUGGUGUAGCGGUGGAAAUGCGCCAGAUAUCAGGAAGAACACCCGUGGCUAAGGCGGCUCUCUAGUACGGUACUGACGCUGAGACGCGAAAGCGUGGGGAGCGAACAGG